rnacentral:rRNA from 1 species
AGUGAACGCUGGCGGUAGGCCUAACACAUGCGAGUCGAACGGCAGCACAGUAAGAGCUUGCUCUUACGGGUGGCGAGUGGCGGACGGGUGAGGAAUACAUCGGAAUCUACUUUUUCGUGGGGGAUAACGUAGGGAAACUUACGCUAAUACCGCAUACGACCUACGGGUGAAAGCAGGGGAUCUUCGGACCUUGCGCGAUUGAAUGAGCCGAUGUCGGAUUAGCUAGUUGGCGGGGUAAAGGCCCACCAAGGCGACGAUCCGUAGCUGGCCUGAGAGGAUGAUCAGCCACACUGGAACUGAGACACGGUCCAGACUCCUACGGGAGGCAGCAGUGGGGAAUAUUGGACAAUGGGCGCAAGCCUGAUCCAGCCAUACCGCGUGGGUGAAGAAGGCCUUCGGGUUGUAAAGCCCUUUUGUUGGGAAAGAAAAGCAGCAGGUUAAUACCCCGCUGUUCUGACGGUACCCAAAGAAUAAGCACCGGCUAACUUCGUG